AGAGGCAUCACAUAUAUAUAUAUAUAUAUAUAUAUGUAUACCACCCUCGUACAGAGCACGAUCAUAUCACACACGCCGGCAACUUCGCGAUGACGACAUCGGCCAGCCUCUUCAAGAAGUUCACGCUCGAGAACGUGGCUCAGAUCGCGAGCAGUAGCCAUAAAGAGCAGAAGGAGGUGCGCGAGGAGCUCGCGGAGCAGUACCCAGCGCUAGAGGAGUACUGGGAAGAGAUUCUGCCCAAGAAGUCGGACAUCUUCAUCAUCCGCUGUCAGGGUCAGGUGCACUGCAUCACCCUCGUCAGCUCCCAGCCCGAGGUGCUCUUCUUCAAUCACCACGGUGGGCCUUACCUACCGCACUUGAAGCUGCUGCACAAGUACCCCUUCAUGUUGAAGGGGCACCAGGUGGACAUUGGCGGCUGCCGCUAUGUCAUCUCUGGUGCGAACGUCAUGUGCCAAGGCUUGACCUCUGCCGGCGGCGUCGUUGCGGACGGCACGGAGGAGGGGGAGGUGGUUGCUGUCUACGUGGAGGGCAAGGAGCAUGCGGUGGCGGUGGGCACCAUGCUCAUGUCCUCGGAUGAGAUCAAGGAAAAGAAUAAGGGGCCGUGCAUAGAGAACAUCCACCACCUCGGCGACGGGCUGUGGAUGAACCCCAUCCUCAGCGCCUCACACAUCAGCGUGUAGCGUGAGGAAGAAACAUAGGCGUGAAAUCAAGCAAGGUGCAUCGGUGUCGUGUACGACGUAGCGGGGGAGAGGGCGAGGCAAGGGAAUGAAGAGAGAGCUGCAGUCACACAGCGAAUACGGUGCGGUGCGCGCGCAUAUGUUUAAACGCAUCAGUGGCGGUGGCGGCGUGUGUGAGGGGGGAGGGGAGGGCCUGUCUGUCUGGUUGAGAGGGUUUCGAGGGUUCCGGUACAUCACCUGGCCGCGUCACGCUGCUCCGCUCUCUCUUUCCCCAUUCACUCUCACCCCGCCUUUCUCCCUUUUCUAGACGUCGUGUGUUGGCCAUGCCCCGUGGCGGGAUAUGGCGUCUGCGCCCGUUGAGUUGGCGGGUUCGCUGUAUCGCAUAUUGGUGUUGGCGGCGCGUUUUGGUGUGUUCAUUUCUCUCGAUGCGCCGGGCGUUAAGGACU
rnacentral:misc_RNA from 1 species